GCCACCCAAACAUCAGGUCCAAGACUUGGAAUUUCUUGAUAUGAGGUUGGUACAAGUUUCUUUCAGAUCUGGAGUUGAUCUGAGGUCGUUUGAGGCACGGGUGAGAUCUCCAUCAACAGAUCUACAGGAAAGGCUGCAGCAGGAUAGAUCUGCAAGAUCUGGUUCUAUCUACCUUCUUCCCUAUCUAGAAUACCCCAAUUUGAGAUCUACAA
rnacentral:lncRNA from 1 species